UUACAUUUGAGUGAGUGGCGAACUGGUGAGUAACACGUGGGAAACCUGCCCAGAAGCGGGGGAUAACACCUGGAAACAGAUGCUAAUACCGCAUAACAACUUGGACCGCAUGGUCCGAGUUUGAAAGAUGGCUUCGGCUAUCACUUUUGGAUGGUCCCGCGGCGUAUUAGCUAGAUGGUGGGUAACGGCUCACCAUGGCAAUGAUACGUAGCCGACCUGAGAGGGUAAUCGGCCACAUUGGGACUGAGACACGGCCCAAACUCCUACGGGAGGCAGCAGUAGGGAAUCUUCCACAAUGGACGAAAGUCUGAUGGAGCAACGCCGCGUGA
rnacentral:rRNA from 1 species